rnacentral:rRNA from 1 species
GACGAACGCUGGCGGCGUGCUUAACACAUGCAAGUCGAACGGAAAGGCCCUGCUUUUGUGGGGUGCUCGAUUGGCGAACGGGUGAGUAACACGUGAGUAACCUGCCCUUGACUUUGGGAUAACUUCAGGAAACUGGGGCUAAUACCGGAUAGGAGCUCCUGCUGCAUGGUGGGGGUUGGAAAGUUUCGGCGGUUGGGGAUGGACUCGCGGCUUAUCAGCUUGUUGGUGGGGUAGUGGCUUACCAAGGCUUUGACGGGUAGCCGGCCUGAGAGGGUGAACGGCCACAUUGGGACUGAGAUACGGCGCAGACUCCUACGGGCGGCAGCAGUGGGGAGUAUUGCACAAUGGGCGGAAGCCUGAUGCAGAAGCGCCGCGUGCGGGAUGACGGCCUUCGGGUGGUAAACCGCUUUCGCCUGUGACGAAGCGUGAGUGACGGUAAUGGGUAAAGAAGCACCGGCUAACUACGUG